rnacentral:lncRNA from 1 species
CACCAUUAAGUUAGGGAUGCUACCCUUUUAUAUAUACACUUAAACAUUAUGGUUUUAAUACAAAAAUACGUUAUAUGCUUUGAAAAGAAAUCAAACUUUGUACUUUCUCGAAAUCUGUACAUAUAUAUACAUAUUUAUUGUUUACAAAAUUAUAUUGUACAAAAACCAUAAUAGAGCGGCUAACAAAAUGAAAUCAGAGUUUCUAGCUCGGCUACAAAAAUGGCGCGAAGCAUGGCAUAUGAACAAAUAUCUGACUGGCCGCUCUUGGCUAGGUCAAUUUCUAAACAUGUACAUCAUUACCUGCAUCAUAAGAACCUAAUGAGCUAAUGGCUCAGCAAGUUGAAACGGAUGUAAUAGCAAUAUAUCACAUAACACAUUAUUCAUUCAAUAUGUACAAUAUCACAUAUAACUUCAUUCGUGAUCCUUUUUCUUUGAAAUCCUUCUUUUUAUCGGGUACCCUUGAAGUGUGGUACUUGACUGAUAGCAAUAGGCUUUGGUUUUCGGAACCUGUUCAUCAUAUUUGGCCAAUAGAUAAUACGGGGGUUUCCAUACCGGCCUUUCGACCUCAGGUAUUAGCCGUAUUUCAUUUCUUUAAUUGUGGGUUUUCCAUACUGGUCUUUCGACCUCAGGUAUUUGCCACCAUGUGUUGGGUCCGCCGGUCCCUCCCGCGUCCCUUGCCUACCCGACCAUCAAUCAAGUACCAUACCCCCAUUUUGAAAACAUAUUCUUUCAUA